UACGAAGGGGGCUAGCGUUGCUCGGAAUCACUGGGCGUAAAGGGCGCGUAGGCGGCCAUUCAAGUCGGGGGUGAAAGCCUGUGGCUCAACCACAGAAUUGCCUUCGAUACUGUCGAGCUUGAGACCGGAAGAGGUAAGUGGAACUGCGAGUGUAGAGGUGAAAUUCGUAGAUAUUCGCAAGAACACCAGUGGCGAAGGCGGCUUACUGGUCCGGUUCUGACGCUGAGGCGCGAAAGCGUGGGGAGCAAACAGG
rnacentral:rRNA from 1 species